rnacentral:lncRNA from 1 species
CCGCUAACGAGCCCAGGCCCCUUAGGGCUGGCUUAUACCCAAACAAGGUGCUGCGGGUCUCCGUUUCCGAGCUAUUUUCGCCGACUGGCGCGAACCCCGAGCCUCGGAGCGGCGCCGCGCACCGGGCGGCCGGGUCCCCAUGGUUACCGCCACAGCGGCGCGGCGCGGCGCGCGGGUAGGCCCGGGCGGCGGGUGGGGGCGGGGAGCUCGCCCCGGGGGGCCCGGCCGCGGCGGCGCCGGGGCGCUCGCUCCGCUGAGGAGGACGCGGCCUCACGGCCCGGCUGGGGCAGCCAAGUUGCGAAGGGCUCAUCCAUCGCCGCUUCUCGGCGGCGGUCAGGGCGGACCUCGCGGCGACGCCAGGCCGCGUCCGUUCCCUUUCUUCCCGUGUACCACGGUGUCUUGAGGACUUGGGUGUUUCCCACGCUCACUCGGGAAAAUUCAAACUGCCUCCACCGAGGACGGAAGCCAGCCCGGGCUGGCCAGCAGCCGCAGCAGCAUCAGCACACGCCUCCCCCCGCGUCUCCUCCGGGCGCGCGAGCCCAGCGGGGCGCGAGCUCCCGUCAGGCGCUCUUCAGCCGCGCGGCCACUUCGAGUGCUGGGAGCCCAGGCUGUCUCGCUCGGGAGCGCCGUCAGGAGAGAAAGAGCUCUCUAUGGGACUUCCCACUCCCCCCCGCGCCACAGGGGCGAAAGCAGGCCCCAGUAACGCUCAACACUCAUAAAAGAUUAACUAUCGUUAAAAAAAAAAAAACCUUCGCCGUCAGAGCUCGCGAGCGGGCCCCACCCCCGGAGGCUGAGGCUCCGCCCCCACGUGGCGGCCUCCCACCGCCGCCCCCGCGAGCCCGCGCUUACGCUCUCGGGGCGGCCGGCCGCGGAUGGCGCGCGGCGCGCUCGCCCCGCCCCCGGCCCCGCCCUCCACUAGGAGAGCCACCGUGUACGAGCAGGGGCGUACGGCGUCAGGGACGCGCGGGCGCCUCCUCCGUCCCACCUUCCUACACUGUUGCUACUUUUGGGGGUGAGACGUUCCCGCUCCUCUUCCCUGUCGUGAGUCCCUGCUUUCGUCUCCUGCAGACCCGCUCGCCCGCGGCUGGCGACGGCCGCCGCCGCCGCCACUGCCGCUCUCGCGCCGGGAGCCAGCAGUGCGCGUGCGCGCGGCCUCGGGCGCGCGGCCGUCGGGGGCUCGCGCUCCCGCCCCUCUAUAACUUGGCUGGCGUGGAGGAGGCGCCGCCGGAGUCGGAGGGCGGGCGCUCUGAGGAGGGAGCUCGAGAGUUGUGGCGACUAGUGACGGGGACAAGUCGCAGCCCGCUCCGGUCGUCUCUUGCCCGCUCGCGCCUCCGUCUCUCACACACCUACUCCGCCCGCCGCCCCCAGCCCGCGCCCUCGCGCCUCGGCUCGCUCACCGGCUCUCCGGCUCUCGGCGCGGUGGGGGCGCCCCGGGGGUGCCCUCGCCCUCCCGGUGCGGGCGGGCGGGCGGGAUGUGGCGCCUGGUGCCCCCGAAGCUGGGCCGCCUGUCCCGCUCGCUGA